rnacentral:rRNA from 1 species
ACGCUCGACACCUACGGGAGCAGCAGUGGGGAAUAUUGCACAAUGGGGGAAACCCUGAUGCAGCGACGCCGCGUGAAGGAAGAAGUAUUUCGGUAUGUAAACUUCUAUCAGCAGGGAAGAAAAUGACGGUACCUGACUAAGAAGCCCCGGCUAACUACGUGCCACAGCCGCGGUAAUCUGAGCGGGCUGGCAAGGC